rnacentral:tRNA from 1 species
AGUGGUUAAUGUUUGGCUGCUAACUGAAAGGUCAGUGGUUCAAACCCACUAGCCACUA